ensembl:lincRNA
GAGAGACGUCACUUCAGUGACUGAUAGCAGCACCGUGUCAAUUCUGCUAGAUGACUGAACCAGAAGGCGGUCUACAGCAGCUUUCACAACUGGAAAAACAGGAAUACUGCGGCACUACAAGUCUCUUCAUGCCACACCAGACACAUCCUCAGGAUGAAGAAAGGAAUAAGGUGGUCCUGGCAGGUGGCCUCAUAAUGCUGAAUGUCAAAGCAGUUGACUAACAUCUUUCCUCACUGGAUGGCCUUCAAGGAAAAAUGCUCUGCAGCCCUGUACAAAACCUAAGUGAUUUAAAUUGAAUACUUGGAAAGAAAAGGAAAAAGUAAACAGGAUUUAGAUAACUGUGGUUAGGAAAAUAGCUUCAGGAUAAUUUGGCCUGAGUGUUUAGGAGACUCAGAGGGCCUGAGGAAUGCGGUGGAUUCCCGGAAGAUGGAUAGGAACACACAUUCCUUUACAACACCCAAUUACCAAGUCUUCAUUUGUUUUCUUGGAACCAAUCUUGUCUGAAGAAAGGUCAUCCUCUCUGAGGCUGGGGGGAGAAAAGGGGCUCAGAGGUCCCAGUUAGACAAGACAAACAAGGGAAUGGAAGAACAUCAAAUAAUCAUUGGACUAUCCAAAUUCCAAUUCUAAGAUAACAAGAGGCAAGGCAAUGAAUUUUCUACUGAAGGAGUCUUUACAGGGACCCCACUAGAUACCCAGCCCCACAUUGACUUAGAUACCACCACAAGGUCUGACCUGUGGUGUACAGCAGUGAGGCAAAGCAGGUAUAAUAGGGGUAUGGGGGUGGGGUGAGCUGGCAAGUUCAUGCUCUUUCUCAAAGGGCAACCCUCCUCAGUGCCAGUGUCCGCAGGAAUGCUCCAAGCAGGUCCACAGUUGUCAGAUCUCUGGUUGUUUCAAGACUCACUCAAUCUACAGUUUUAAAUAAAAUAUCAUAAUGUUGCCAAAACAUUUUUAGAAUAAUAUUAUUGAGACUAAAAACAUGUCCACUGGCUGGACUUUGCCCAUGGACCUCUGCUUUACAGUGUCCAACCUAUAAAAAUAAUCUUCAGAGAAAGAAUAACAAAGCUAGAGAUAUCGCACUGAUUUCAGGCUAUACUGAGAAGCCGUAGUAAUCAAAACAAUAUGGUACUGGUAUAAUAACAGGUGCAUAGAUUCAGGGGACAAAAUAGAAAACCUAGAAAGAAAACCAUUCAUAUACGGUCAAUUAAUUUACAGCAAAGGAAGCCAGAAUAUACAAUGGGAAAAAGACAAUCUCUGUGAUAAAUGGUCUUAGAAAAACUGCAAAGCCUCAUGCAAACAAAUGAAACUGGACCACUAUCCACACCAAACACAAAAAUUUACUCCGAGUGGAUUAAAGACCUGAAUGUAUGACCUGAAACCACACAACUAGAGGAAGACAUAGGUAGUAAGCUACUCGACAUCAGUCUAGGGGAUGAGUUUUUUAUUCUGACACUAGAAGCAAAGGCAACAAAAGCGAAAGUAAACAAAUGGGACUACAUCAAACAGAAAGGCUUUUGUCCAGCAAAGGAAAGCAUCAACCAAAUGGAAAGGCAACCUGCAGAAUGGGAGAAAAUAUUUGCAAAGCAUCUCUUUGAUAAGGGAUUAAUAUCUAAAAUAUAGAAAGAACUCAUACCACUCAAUAGUGAAAAACAAACAAUCCAAUUAAAAAAUGAGAACAGCAUAGAUAUUUUUCCAGAGAAAACAUAUAUAAAUAGCCAACAGGUACAUUUAAAAAAUGCUCAGAUCACUCAGCAUCAGGGAAAUGCAAAUCAAAACCACAGUGCGAUGUUGCCUCACACCUAUUAGAAUGGCCGCUAUCAAAAAGACAAGAAAUAAGUGUUGGCCAGCACAUGGAGAGAGGAGAACACUUGUGCACCGUUGGUGAGAGAGUCAAUUGGUGCAGCCACUCUGAAAACAGUAUGGAGAUUCCUCAGAAAGUUAAAAAUAGAACUAGCCUAUGAUCCAGAAAUUCCACUUUGGUAUAUACUGAAAGAAAUGAAAACUUCACUCAAAAACACAGAUGAACCAGUAUGUUCACUGCAAUAUUGUGUAUAGUAGCCAAGAUAAGGAAAUAACCUAAGUGCCCAUCA